rnacentral:lncRNA from 1 species
AUCAAUUUAUUUGAUCUAAUUUUGAUAAAAAUAACAUAGUUUAAUUAAUUAUAUGUAUUAAAUUUUAAUUACUUAAAAACAUUAAAAAAAGACAUUUUAAACAUCUUUAUCUAAGCGAUUUCCUUCUGAAAAAAGCCAAAGAAGAGGCCAAAAAAGAGGUUAAAAAAGAGACUAACUAUUUUGUAAAACGAAAACUUAUUCCUACAAAAAUGACGGCACACAAUGUCAAAAUGCUUGCAAGUGCAAGCGUGAUGGCUGCCAGAAUCACCCGAAAGCGCCGAUAUUCCGAAGGCUCUUAUUUUUGUCUAAAUUUUGAGUGCAUUGACAUCGUUUGUCGAUGCUAAAGAUCAUUUUCUUGGAAGUUGCACGUUCCUUUUCCACACAAAAGUUUUUGUGUGAAAAAUAGAUGUACCCGUAACGGAGAAUGAUCUUUGUUUUUACCUUAGUUAUUAUUGUGACCCUCCUCACUUAAAAGCCCAAAAUUAUGUGCAGACCUUGUCGGCAACAAAGUAUUAGUAAAUGGUGUUGAGUACACUCAAAAUUUAGAUAGAAGUAAAGAGUUUCUGGGGCUCCGGUACCUUCCGGUGAUUCUGAUAGUCAUUGAGCUUACACUUGCAACCAUCUUGGCAUUGUCUGUUGCCAUUUACCCAGGAGCAAGUUUUCGUCCUACACCCAUACAGAGAUGAGAUAAAAUGGUCGUCUUCUCUUUAGCCUCUUUCUUAACC